CAGCAGCCGCCGCGGGAAUACAGAGGGUGCGAGCGUUAAUCGGAUUUACUGGGCGUAAAGCGUGCGUAGGCGGCUUCUUAAGUCGGAUGUGAAAUCCCUGAGCUUAACUUAGGAAUUGCAUUCGAUACUGGGAAGCUAGAGUAUGGGAGAGGAUGGUAGAAUUCCAGGUGUAGCGGUGAAAUGCGUAGAGAUCUGGAGGAAUACCGAUGGCGAAGGCAGCCAUCUGGCCUAACACUGACACUGAGAGACGAAAGCUAGGGGAGCAAAUGGGAUUAGAUACCCCUGUAGUCCCUGUCUCUUAUAC
rnacentral:rRNA from 1 species